rnacentral:rRNA from 1 species
UACAGAGGGGUGCAAGCGUUGUUCGGAAUUACUGGGCGUAAAGGGCGCGUAGGCGGCCUUCUAAGUCGAACGUGAAAUCUCUGGGCUCAACCCAGGAACUGCGUCCGAUACUGGAAGGCUUGAAUCCGGGAGAGGGAUGCGGAAUUCCAGGUGUAGCGGUGAAAUGCGUAGAUAUCUGGAGGAACACCGGUGGCGAAGGCGGCAUCCUGGACCGGUAUUGACGCAUGAGGGCGCGAAAGCCAGGGGAGCCAAACGGG